rnacentral:rRNA from 1 species
UACGUAGGGUGCGAGCGUUAAUCGGAAUUACUGGGCGUAAAGCGUGCGCAGGCUGUUUUGUAAGUCAGAUGUGAAAUCCCUGGGCUCAACCUAGGAACUGCGUUUGAAACUACAAGGCUAGAGUGUAGCAGAGGGGGGUAGAAUUCCACGUGUAGCAGUGAAAUGCGUAGAGAUGUGGAGGAAUACCAAUGGCGAAGGUAGCCCCCUGGGUUAACACUGACGCUCAUGCACGAAAGCGUGGGGAGCAAACAGG